UACGAAGGGGGCAAGCGUUGUUCGGAUUUACUGGGCGUAAAGGGCGCGUAGGCGGAUGUACAAGUCAGAGGUGAAAGCCCUGGGCUCAACCCGGGAACUGCCUUUGAAACUGUGCAUCUUGAGUAUGGGAGAGGAUGGCGGAAUACCCAGUGUAGAGGUGAAAUUCGUAGAUAUUGGGUAGAACACCAGUGGCGAAGGCGGCCAUCUGGCCCAUAACUGACGCUGAGGCGCGAAAGCGUGGGGAGCAAACAGG
rnacentral:rRNA from 1 species